CCUACGGGGGACAGCAGUGAGGAAUAUUGGUCAAUGGGCGCGAGCCUGAACCAGCCAAGUAGCGUGAAGGAUGACUGCCCUACGGGUUGUAAACUUCUUUUAUAAAGGAAUAAAGUGAGGCACGUGUGCCUGUUUGAAUGUACUUUAUGAAUAAGGAUCGGCUAACUCCGUGCCAGCAGCCGCGGUAAUACGGAGGAUCCGAGCGUUAUCCGGAUUUAUUGGGUGUAAAGGGAGCGUAGAUGGGUUGUUAAGUCAGUUGUGAAAGUUUGCGGCUCAACCGUAAAAUUGCAAUUGAUACUGGCAGUCUUGAGUGCAGUAGAGGUAGGCGGAAUUCGGGGUGUAGCGGUGAAAUGCUUAGAUAUCACGAAGAACUCCGAUUGCGAAGGCAGCUUACUAAACUGCCACUGACAUUGAUGCUCGAAAGUGUGGGUAUCAAACAGGAUUAGAUACCCGUGUAGUC
rnacentral:rRNA from 1 species